CAGAUGAGCAAAGCUUGAUUCUUCCAUGGUGAUAAGGUAACAGCACUCUUCCUGGGUUCCACAGAAGCGGGAGAAUUCAGUACCUGUUUGCACCCAUUCCUACCCUCCCUGCUCCCUUGCACCUGGUAGAGCUGGCCAACCGAGUGACCCAGGAAAGCUCCUACGGGGGGCCUUGGCUUCCUCAGUCUCCCUCUAACAUUGGACUGUUCUUCAGUAUCAUGUAAAUUAACAUGAUAAAGUUAUGGGACUCCUGUCAAUUAUAGAUAGAGGAUUCCUUUAGCAAGUAUAUCAUAUUCAGAUCAACACAGGCACCCUAAAAGUAGUUGUCCUGGAAAUAAUAUACACUUAUUCUAAAAAAAAUUUGGUUAUUACUCAAAAUAUUUUGGUUACUUAUUAUGUAGAGUUACUUUGAAAAUCAAUCUGAGGGGCUGGGGGUGUGGCUGGGUGGGAGAGCACUUGCUUACUACAUGCAGGGCCCUGGGUUCCACCCCUGGUAACACACACACACACACACACACACGCAAACUCUAAAAUAACAACAACAAAUCAGUCUGAGCCCUACUGAGGAAGCCAGUUUCACAACACACUAGGACUUCAGCUUUCCUUCUGGAGCCCCAAGCAGGGAAAGCUCCGGAUCCCAGUGGAGCCGCAAGACUCUCAUCCCUCAGAGCCCGGGUGCUGCUUUGUGAGACUUUGACCUUUAAACAGAGCAGGAUCCAACUGCCCUGUUUAGUGUACUCUCUCCAGGGCUCCAUUUCUCUUCCUUCCCCUCUCCACCUUCUUCACAGCACAGAACCCUCGUGUCUGGGUCUGCAGACCUAGCCUCCAUUGUCUUCCCAGAGGAAACUUGGGGGGAACGGCCUGGGGAAGAGGGACUUGAGCAUUCUCCAUUUCCUUCUGCGCCUGGGGAGUUGGUUAAUGAUCAACCAGUAAUUGCCACUCCCGGGGAGACCAGGAUCAUGGUCCAGCCCUACACCGUGGCUCAGGGCAGAGGGCACUGGGUACACAGAAGAACCUGCUGCUGACCUUCCUACUUUAUUUUUGGAGUUGGUGGCCGUCUGUGGUCAUGUAUCUUCCUCCUUGAGUCUGCUCUUGGGGGAAAAUGAGGAUGUCUGAAGUUUGCAAAGCAAAAAACCUGUAGGAAGCUGGGCUCCUUCCCACCAUGCCUCCUUCUGCUUUCUAGCUGUUUCUGAGCUCCCAGAACACCAGAGAGAGGCGUUAGCUGAUGUUCAAAUGUGUCUACAGGAUUUCCUCAGGGCUCGGGAUACCUUGGAGGGCUUCAUUCUGUGCCCACCAGCUUACCUGCUUUUGUCUUUUCCAGAUUUUUACUUUUCACAAACAAGUAGGAGGCUAAUGGGCUAGAAAUUCAGCCUCCCUUCAGCCUUCAUUAAUUGAACAAUAAGGUUGUUUAGGCAAUAUUGUCCCUGUGGGGACAGGGAGAGGCAGUGGCAGAAUGCACAGUUAGUGAAUGGACAUUCCUGGUGCAGAGUAGGUGUGCAGAAGGAAGGAGGCCCAGGAACUGCAGAAAUGGAAGGUGUAACACAGGGAAAUGAGGGGGGCAGACAGAGGCUGUUGAUGGUCCCUUUCUGCCACCUGAAGGAAGAGUUAGUUACCUGAUCAAAGGCCAUUAGGGGCAUGGCCUGGGGCUGAAUUCUGGUGCUAUGAAAACACAGGUCUACAAGGUUACAGUCUUAACCAAAAGGACAGAGGUAACAAACAAUUCAUUGUGAUUUUCAAAAUGUGUGUGGUAGAGUAUUAUGGGUCACAACUCCUACCAUGGCUAAUGCCUAACAUUUAUUGUUCAUCAGUUUUUUAAAAAUUUGUUUCUUUUUGGUAUUGGGGAUUGAACUUAGAGACACUUUACCACUGAGCUGUAUUCCCAUCCCUUUAUAUUUUUUGAGACAGGAUCUCACUAAGUUGCUUAGGGCCUCCUUAAGUCGCUGAGGCUGGUCUUGAAGUUGUGAUCCUCCUGAGCCGUUGGGAUUACAGGUGUGCCCGGCUCACCUAGUAUCUUCUAAAUGUUUACACAUGGAUUAAUUUCUUUACUCCUGACACCAACUGUAUGUAUUGAUAUAAUCCCUGUUCUGUAGAUAAAGAAGCCGAGGCUCAGAGCCUGCCUGAGGUCACCCCAGGGGCGCUGGGAUUCUGGAACAGCAGGUGGUCAGGCUUCGGGACCCUUUGCUCUUGCCUAAGUCAUCCAGAGUCAUCCAGAGUGAGCGGGAAGCUUGGCCAUGUCCCUCCUGCAUGCCUUCCUACCUGCUUAUCUGACCUGGGAUACUCUUCUUUAAAGACUGGUCAAAGGGGUCUUUCCUGUGACACCUCGGACUCCCUCAGCCCAUCUCUGGCACUCUCUGUCCUUGGAGCUUGCCUAGCACCUGUGGAUAGAACAACUGCAUGAGAUUCUAUUUACUGGGCUAGCUGAUUCCUGUGGUAAGCUUUUAGAGAACAAGGACUUUUUAAUUUUCUUGGAAAUUCUCAAAUAGUUAUAAAAGUAGAGACAAUGGUAUGAUGAACUUACACGUACUCAUCGCCCAACUCCAACGAUUAUCCUUCCAGGCCAGUCUUGUUUCAUCUAUGCUCCGACUUUAUGUCCUCCCUCCCCAAACAUGGAUUAUUUUGUAAGAAAUCCUAGACAUCAAAUUAUUUUAUCUAUAAAUAUUUCAGUGAUGCUCCUAAAACAUAAGGGCUCUUUUAGAAACCACAACCAUGCCAAGUGUGGUGCUCACCUGUAAUCCCAGCUACUCAGGAGGCUGAGGCAGGAGAAUCACCAGUUCGAGGUCAGCCUCAGCAAUGUAGCAAGGCCCUAAGCAACUCAGUGAGACUCUAUCUCAAAAUAAAAAAUAAAAAGAGCCUGGAAAUAUGGCUCAGUUUGUAAGUGCCCCUGUGUUCAAUCCCUGGUACCAAACAAAACAAGACAAAAAACUAAAACAUUAUCCCAUUGAAAAAUAAUAUCAAGAAAUAUGCGACCAAUGAUCAAAUUUCUGAGAUUAUUUUAUACUUGUUCUUCCUUUCCUCUUCUUUUUCCUCUUUGUUCUUCAGUUACUUCCUUUCUUCUUCUCUUUCAAAUAACAAGGUUGUUUGAAUCAGGUUCGCUUUUCUCAACACCUAGUUUAGUGUUUGACAUAGAGUGGUGAGUUCUUCACAGAUGUUUGUUGAAUGAAUAAAACAUCAGGAGUCUUUAAAAGAUCCUGGCUGGGUUUUGUUUGGUUUCUUGGGAUGCCUUUCAACCUCCGGUAACUUUCGUUUUUUAGGGGUUAACUUAAAUGCCAGCUACCAUCUGUGCCUGUGAACAUUGCUGAAGGCUUGAGGUCUGCGGUGUGUCUGUGGCUGGGAGAAAAGGAGCCUUGCUUUCUUGUUUCUGCUUUCUGUCCUGGGUUCCUGUGAUGGGCUGAAUUGUAUGCUUCCCAAAGUCUUAGGUCAGAACCCAGAAUGUGGCUGCAUUUGAAGAUAAGGCCGUUAAAGGUGAUGAGUAAAAUCAGGCCAUUAGGGUGGGCCCUAAUCCUACCUGCCAGGUAUCCUCAUAAGGAAAGGUGACACCAGUGAUGUAAAUGCACAGGGAAAGGACCCUGUGAGGACAGCCAGGCAGCCACCUGCAAGCCAAGGAGAAGGGCCUCAGCAGAAACCUGAUAAGAAGUGUUGCUAAGAUGACUGUAGAUAAUGACAACAUUUUAAAAAACUAAAAUAAAGGAUUUUGAGUGUUUACAACCAAAAAGACAAAUGUUGCCGGGUGCAGUGGCACACACCUCAGCUCAGGAGGCUGAGGCAGGAGGAUCAUCACUUCAAAGCCAGCUUCAGCUAUUUAUGAAGGACCUGAGCAACUCAGUGAGACCCUGUCUCUAAAUAAAAAAUAAAUAAGGGCUGGGGAUGUGGCUCAGUGUUUAAGUGCCCCUGCGUUCAAUCCCUUGUACAAAAAAAAAAAAAAAGACAAAUAUUUGAGGAGAAGAAUGUGUCACUGAUUUAAACUUUACACAAUGUAUGCAUGUAUAAUUUGGGCAAUGUUUAUGUAUCAGUUAAAAAGACAUUUAAUUUAAAUAAAAAAAACAUAAAAGAAACUAAAUCUGUUGACACAUUGAUAUCUUGGAUCUCCAGAACUGUGAGAAAUAAAUUUUCAUGGUUAGGGCUGGGGGUGUAGCUCAGUGGCUGAGUGCUUACCUAGCAUGCAAGAGACCCUGAGAUUGACCCCAGCACUGCACACACACACAAAUUUCCGUUGUCUAAGUCGCCCAGUGUGCCGUACUCUGUUAUGGCAUCGAGAACAGACUAAUCACAGUCUCUUGUCUCACUUUAAGUUGGACUGAUCAUGCUUGGCUUCUUUGGCCCCUGCACAAGAGGGGUCCCUUCAGGGUCUCUCAGGGAUCUCUCUGGGGAAGAUCCUUAGGAGCAGGGACAGCUUCAUGUGGUGAUGUGGAACAAAGAAUUCUAAGAUGGCCCCCAUCCUCUCCUGGAAUGGAGAAUAUGAUGAGUUAUCACCUCCCAUCCAUGAUGCUUACUUUGUGUGGCACUCAGGAUUUAAAAAAAUUUUUUUUUGGUACCUUGGAUUGAACCCAGGGGCGCUUAACCUCUGAGCCACAUCCCCAGCUCUUUAUUUUUAUAUUUUAUUUAGAGACAGGGUCUUGCUGAGUUGCUUAGGGCCUCAUUAAAUUGCUUAGGUUGGCUUUCAAGUCACAAUCCUCCUCCCUCAACCUCCCAAACUGCUGGGAUGAAAGGUGUGCACCACCGUGCUCAGUUCUGGCAAUCAGGAUUUUGAAGAUAUAAUUAAAGAUACAAAUCAGUUGAUUUUGAGUUAAUCAAGGAGAUUAUCUGAGUGGACCUAAUCUAAUCCCAUGAAUCUUUUAAAAGCAAAGAGUUUUCUCUGGCUGGUUUCAGAAAGAGAAAUCAUGGACUUUAGAAGUGUGAGUGGGAGACCCUCUGUUGCUGAAAUGGGGCGGUCAUGGGGCUGGGACCUUGGAACAUCCUCUAGUUUCUGAGAGUGGUCCCUGUUAUCAGUAGGUCAAUGAAGACCUCAACCUGUGACUGCAAGGAGCUCAGCUCUGUGAACUAAUAAACAAGUGUUGUUUUAAACUACUGAGUCCAUGGUAAUUUGUAAGGCAGCAAUAGAAUAUGAAUAUUGGUGCUUUGUACUGAUAGAUUGAAUUAGCCACAUCUAAUUUUACUUUUAAAAAUUAAGGUAAGAAUUAGCCUGGUGUGGUGGUGCAGACCUAUAAUUCCAGCACAGGAGGAUUGAAAGUUCAUAGCCAGCCUGAGCAAUUUAGUGAGACCAUAAGCAAUUUAGCGAGACCAUUUCAAAAAAUGGGAUUGUGGCUCAGUGGUUAAAAUGCUCCUGGGUUAAAUCCCCAGUACCUGCACCCUUACCAAAAAAAAAAAAAAAAAAUUGAGGCAAAAAUUAGAAUACAUUGAAAUGCAUACAGACCUUAAGUAUAAAAAAAUUUUUUUUUCAUGAUGCUGAGCUACACUCCUGAACUUUACAAUUUGAUUUUGGUAAAUGUGUACACCCAUGCAAUCACACCUCAAUUUCGAUGUAGAACAAUUCUGCCAUCCCUGAAUUCCUUUGAAUGCCUUUACAAUUAAUUCCCCCCAUCUUGAAUGAAUUCUUAGCUCCAUUAGUUAAAAGUGCCUAUUCUUGGCAGGCAUCAUUUAACUGGUAUAUAAUACAUGCUCCUUUAUGUCUGUUUGACUUUGCACAGCAUGAUAGUUGAUUUAGUGAGAUUUUGUCUCAAAAAUAAAAAGGGCUGGGGAUGUGGCUCAAUGUGGUUAAAUGCCCCUGGGUUCAAUCCCAAGUACAACAAACAAACAAACAAACAAACAAAAUCUUGCUAAAUUGCUUAGGGCCUUGCUAAAUUCCUGAGCUAGCCUUGAACUUGCCAUCCUCCUGCCUCAAUCUCCUGACCUGCUGGGAUUACAGGAGUGUGCCACCACACCUGGCUACAGCAUGAUAUUUUAAAGAUUCAUCCUUUGUUUUGCUUUUUUUUUUUUUUUCCUUUUAAGACAGGAUCUCACUAUGUCACUCAGAACAUCCUUGGACUCCUGGUCUCAAGCAAUCCCAGGCAUGCACCACUACUCCCAGCAAGAUUCGUCCAUUUCUUACAAGUUUGAACACUUUAGUUGCAGAAGAGUAGUAAAUCCUGUCCUAUUGGCACAACACAAUUUGCUUAUUAUUCAUUUGCUGAUGGUCAUUUGAAUUAUUUCCACCUUUCGGUCAUUAUGAAAAAUGCUGUUGUGAACAUUCAUGUGUGGUUCUUCACGGCUAUACAUUGUCAUUUCUCUCAGAUAAAUAUGUAGGAGUGUUAUCGCUGGGUUAUAGAGUGUGUCAAAACUUUAUAAGGACCAUCAAGCCAUUUCUCUGAGGGACUGUGCCAUUGUAGAUCUCCAUCAGCAAUCUAUAAGCAUUCUGGUUAUUCCCCUCCUCAUGACACUUGGGAUUGUCAAGUCUUUUUUUGGGGGGAGUGGGGGUUAAUAAAAACUUUAUUGUUGUAUUA
rnacentral:lncRNA from 1 species